rnacentral:rRNA from 1 species
UACGGGGGGAGCAAGCGUUGUUCGGAUUUACUGGGCGUAAAGGGCGGGUAGGCGGCCACCGCAAGUCAGUUGUGAAAUCUCUGGGCUUAACCCAGAAAGGUUAACUGAUACUGCGGGGCUAGAGUGCAGAAGGGGCAACUGGAAUUCUCGGUGUAGCGGUGAAAUGCGUAGAUAUCGAGAGGAACACCUGCGGCGAAGGCGGGUUGCUGGGCUGACACUGACGCUGAACUGCGAAAGCUAGGGGAGCGAACGGG